CCGGCGACCGGCGCACGGGUGAGUAACACGUAUGCAACCUGCCCGUGGCAGGGGGAGUAAGCGGGGGAAACCCCGUCUAAUACCGCGUAACGCGGCCUAGGGACAUCCCAAGGCCGCCAAAGGGAGCAAUCCCGGCCACGGAUGGGCAUGCGGCGCAUUAGCUAGUCGGCGGGGUAACGGCCCACCGAGGCGACGAUGCGUAGGGGUUCUGAGAGGAAGGCCCCCCACACUGGUACUGAGACACGGACCAGACUCCUACGGAAGGCAGCAG
rnacentral:rRNA from 1 species